rnacentral:rRNA from 1 species
GACGAACGCUGGCGGCGUGCUUAACACAUGCAAGUCGAGCGGUAAGGCCCUUUCGGGGGUACGACGAGCGGCGAACGGGUAGAGUAACACGUGGGUGACCUGCCCUUAGCUCUGGGAUAAGCCUGGGAAACGUGGGUCUAAUACCGGAUAUGACUCCAUGACGCAUGUUGUGGGGUGGAAAGCCUUGUGCGGCUAGGGAUGGGCCCGCGGCCUAUCAGCUUGUUGGUGGGGUGAUGGCCUACCAAGGCGACGACGGGUAGCCGGCCUGAGAGGGCGACCGGCCACACUGGGACUGAGACACGGCCCAGACUCCUACGGGAGGCAGCAGUGGGGAAUCUUGCGCAAUGGGCGAAAGCCUGACGCAGCGACGCCGCGUGGGGA